rnacentral:lncRNA from 1 species
GCAGACAAUAGUGACCUGCGUGGUGUCAGGGAGGAUGCAAGCACCCCAGGUACCCCACUGAGGUCCUUUCAUCCCCCUGGCACAUACAGAGACCCAGCCUGGAUUCCCAUGGAGGCUGUUUGCUGAGCCUUAGAGCAGCUUGACUUGCCUCCAUGUUGGAAAUUCUGCCCAUGAGCAGAUGGAUUACUGUGGGCCAGCUGUCUGUCUGUCUGUCUUUAUUACCCCAGGGAGCUGUGGUUCUGAACCUCCUAUUGGGGGUUUUAGAACUAAGUGUUUCAGGAAAGUCGAAUGCUGCAUUGACAGACAGGAGAACUGGAGUCGUUCCUGGCUAGCCCAAGUUCUCACUGCAUGACCUUGGGCAGGUCAAGCCUCCUCUUUGGCUCUUAAUUUUGUCUGCUCAAUGGGUACAGUGGGGAGAACGAGACAGUCACCCUAGGUUCCUGUUUUUCAUGACCUUGUUAUUUGUAAGACAUAACGAGGAAGACAUAAAGCUUCCUUGUUAGCUGUAAGGGAGACAUAUAAAGUAAGAACUAACGAUUACCUCAAGAUCUCUUUAAUCUAGUUAGAGAGACAGACUGACAACAUGAAAUAGUGCAUGCCAGACAUCAUAUAAUUAAAUGCCAGCUGUCUGGUACUCACUGUUGAUGCAUUAGGAGUGCAGAAACAAGAGAAUGGGGUGGGUAUUUGGGGAUGGCUUUGUGGAGGCUCUGGGUCCAGGAGGACAGAUGAGAUUGCGUCAGGCAAAGAUGCAGGAGAGGGCAUCCCAAGUGGGAACCCACAGGGCUUCCUGUGCCAAGGAGGGGCGCCCUUUCCAACUUUGCAUGAAAGCAAUUUAUACGCUAGCCACAUCCCUGACUUAUUUGUCCUAGAGACCCUGGGAGACCAUUUCCUCUAUCCCAUGCCUCCUUCUGGGUUUGCCUCAGCUGUGGGGCCCAGUGUUGGGUCCCCAUCGCUGCCCAAAGGGAAGCUUUUCAGAGCAAGAAUGAGGGAGAGUGGCAUUGCUCACUGUCAGAAGCAUUUCAGGCAGGAAAUGAAGAAUUUUUUAGGUGGCUAAAAAUACUGUGAAAGCUGAUUUAUGUUUGCAUUUUGUUCCAGGACAGCAGAUUAUAGCCCAAGUUCUGAGGCAAAGGCAGCAGCGCCUUUAUGGCCUGCUUGGAACAGUUUUAUGUCUUAGUGAGUUUUAUACAUUUCAGCUAAGCCAAGAUGCUAGAACUUUUUUGUCCAUAUAUUUCACUGGGGAAAACUCACAUACCACUCCUUGCACCCAACCUCAUGUUACCAUGCAAAAAGAAAGAAAAGGAAGGAAGGAAGGGGAAAAGAAUGUGCUUGCUAUUUAGUUGGUAUCCAGUUUUUAGUUAACGUAAAUCAAAUUGUAGACAGUGAAUCCACAUGAAACUGAAUUAGACAGCCAGUGACAUGAAAACCAAAGGAUCUCUAUAUAUUGUUGAAUAUGCAGACCACUCCACCCUGCAGCAUCUUUUUUUUUUUUUUUUUUUUUUCUG